UUCCAGCAUUCUAGGAUGGAUACCAGAGCUAAAUUGGCUUCAGAUGCUUUAAUGAUACACGAUGUGUUGUCAACGUGGCCUCAUGAACAUUUGGUAUCCUGAUACUUAUUCAUCGAGAUCUGUUUACUCUCGGCAUUUUCAGAUAGAGAAUCAUGGCUUGAAUUAAUACUGAGCAUAUCACUGGUUUUUCUGUCAUCAUGCUGCAGGUUUGAGUGUUGGAAAUGGUAGUUUCUUGGUCUCUAACCAUCCUUCAUGUGCAUUGUUGAGUUGUUGAGUUGCCAUACGCAUGAUAGAUUUACAUCUUCGGUUGGUCUUUCGCAGGUAACGCACACAUGGAAAGAGUUAGCAUGGAGGCUCUCACUUGCAACUGUUGGAGAAUUAAACAACCGCUUUUGGAACAGGGACCGAUGCCGGAUGUACGUCGGUGUUUGAAUGAGUCUCACCUUUUCUUGUUAUUCUUUUUUGUAAAAAAUGAUCAAUAGUAUUUGGAACUCGAACCUCAGCGUCUUUUUAUCUUCAACGGUCACAACUUUUCUAUUUCUGUAUAAAUAUAGCAGCUUCAUUAACAGGUAUAAUAUAGAAUUUGUUGUAUUCCUGCACAAAAAUCUGCCCAUGUUUAUUCCAAACAAUGUUUCCAGCCUGUUGAUUU
rnacentral:lncRNA from 1 species